UACGGGGGGAGCAAGCGUUGUUCGGAUUCACUGGGCGUAAAGGGUGCGUAGGUGGCGGGGUAAGUCUGAUGUGAAAGCUUCGAGCUCAACUCGAAAAUGGCAUUGGAUACUAUUCUGCUAGAGGGUUGGAGGGGGGACUGGAAUUCUCGGUGUAGCAGUGAAAUGCGUAGAUAUCGAGAGGAACACCGGUGGCGAAGGCGAGUCCCUGGACAACACCUGACACUGAGGCACGAAAGCUAGGGGAGCAAACAGG
rnacentral:rRNA from 1 species